rnacentral:rRNA from 1 species
GACGAACGCUGGCGGCGUGCUUAACACAUGCAAGUCGAACGGAAAGGCCCUGCUUUUGUGGGGUGCUCGAGUGGCGAACGGGUGAGUAACACGUGAGUAACCUGCCCUUGACUUUGGGAUAACUUCAGGCAACUGGGGCUAAUACCGGAUAGGAGCUCCUGCUGCAUGGUGGGGGUUGGAAAGUUUCGGCGGUUGGGGAUGGACUCGCGGCUUAUCAGCUUGUUGGUGGGGUAGUGGCUUACCAAGGCUUUGACGGGUAGCCGGCCUGAGAGGGUGACCGGCCACAUUGGGACUGAGAUACGGCCCAGAGUCCUACGGGAGGCAGCAGUGGGGAAUAUUGCACAAUGGGCGGAAGCCUGAUGCGGCAGCGCCGCGUGCGGGAUGACGGCCUUCGGGUUGUAAACCGCUUUAGCCUGUGACGAAGCGUGAGUGACGGUAAUGGGUAAAGAAGCACCGGCUAACUACGUG